AUUGAACGCUGGCGGCAGGCUUAACACAUGCAAGUCGAACGGUAACAGGGUGCUUGCACCGCUGACGAGUGGCGGACGGGUGAGUAACGCGUGAGCAACCUGCCCUGCAACGGGGGACAACAGUCGGAAACGAUUGCUAAUACCGCAUAAGACCACACUACCACAUGGUAGAGGGGUAAAAGGAUUUAUUCGAUGCAGGAUGGGCUCGCGUCCCAUUAGAUAGUUGGUGAGGUAACGGCUCACCAAGUCAACGAUGGGUAGCCGACCUGAGAGGGUGAUCGGCCACACUGGAACUGAGACACGGUCCAGACUCCUACGGGAGGCAGCAGUGGGGAAUAUUGGGCAAUGGAGGAAACUCUGACCCAGCAACGCCGCGUGAAGGAAGAAGGCCUUCGGGUUGUAAACUUUUGUCCUAUGGGACGAAGAAGUGACGGUACCAUAGGAGGAAGCUCCGGCUAACUACGUGCCAGCCGCCGCGGUAA
rnacentral:rRNA from 1 species